UCCAGACUCCUACGGGAGGCAGCAGUGGGGAAUAUUGGGCAAUGGGCGCAAGCCUGACCCAGUAACGCCGCGUGAAGGAAGAAGGCUUUCGGGUUGUAAACUUCUUUUCUCAGGGACGAAGAAAGUGACGGUACCUGAGGAAUAAGCCACGGCUAACUACGUGCCAGCAGCCGCGGUAAUACGUAGGUGGCAAGCGUUAUCCGGAUUUAUUGGGUGUAAAGGGGGUGUAGGCGGGAGCGUAAGUCAGAUGGGAAAACGCAGGGCUCAACCCCGAGCCCGCCUUUGAAACUGGGGUUCUUGAGUGCUGGAGAAGCAAUCGGAAUUCCGGGUGUAGCGGUGAAAUGCGUAGAUAUACGGAGGAACACCAGUGGCGAAGGCGGAUUGCUGGACAGUAACUGACGCUGAGGCGCGAAAGCGUGGGGAGCAAACAGGAUUAGAUACCCGAGUACA
rnacentral:rRNA from 1 species